UACGGAGGGUGCAAGCGUUAAUCGGAAUUACUGGGCGUAAAGCGCACGCAGGCGGUCUGUUAAGUCAGAUGUGAAAUCCCCGGGCUUAACCUGGGAACUGCAUUUGAAACUGGCAGGCUUGAGUCUCGUAGAGGGGGGUAGAAUUCCAGGUGUAGCGGUGAAAUGCGUAGAGAUCUGGAGGAAUACCGGUGGCGAAGGCGGCCAACUGGACCACAACUGACGCUGAGGCGCGAAAGCGUGGGGAGCAAACAGG
rnacentral:rRNA from 1 species